GCUCUACAAGAAAAUUUAACUAUGGAAAUGCCUUAUUUGGGGUUGCUACUUUUUUUCAGGGACAUCAAAAGCCUUUACAUGGUCAACUAAUUUCCUACCACCAAUAAAGAUUGGCUUCCUGUAUCUUUCCUGAGCUUUUGCAGAACCAAAACAUACCACUUCAUCUAUAAUUCACCAGAUAGUAUCUGCAGUCUUCAAUAAAGGCAGAUCAUGAUUAGCUCUAGAGGGUGCAAAGUUCCUUCAGUAAAUUCAUGCAUCCGAAAACGCUCCAGAAGUUCAAAGGGGAGGAUGACUUCACGAUUAUGGCUUAGUCUGCGCUGAUUGCUUUCCAUGGCUUCCAACACGUUAGAAGUUUCUGGUCCAGCUGAUCCUCCCGCAACAAUUGAUGGGACGGAAGCAGUUGGAGUCCAAAUCUUUAUUGUGUUGUCAAUACCACUUGUAGCCACAACACAAUC
rnacentral:misc_RNA from 1 species